CCUACGGGAGACAGCAGUGGGGAAUAUUGCACAAUGGGGGCAACCCUGAUGCAGCAAUGCCGCGUGAGUGAUGACGGUCUUCGGAUUGUAAAGCUCUGUCUUACGUGACGAUGAUGACGGUAUCUUCUAAAGAAGCCCCGGCUAACUUCGUGCCAGCAGCCGCGGUAAUACGUAGGGUGCGAGCGUUGUCCGGAAUUACUGGGCGUAAAGGGAGUGUAGGCGGAUUUUUAAGUUAGCGGUGAAAUGCCCGGGCUCAACCUCGGUACUGCCUUUACAACUGUAUAUCUAGAGUACUGGAGAGGAGAACGGAAUACCGAGUGUAGCGGUGAAAUGCGUAGAUAUUGGGUAGAACACCAGUGGCGAAGGCGAUUCUCUGGACUUUUACUGACGCUGAGGCUCGAAAGCAUGGGGAUCAAACAGGAUUAGAUACCCGAGUAGUC
rnacentral:rRNA from 1 species